UUUCAGCUCAUGAAACAUGGGACCAACACUUCACAUAUUACAUAUACAUAUAGUCUAUUACAUGUAUCCUAUACUGACUAGUCUAUUACAUGUAUCCUAUACUGACUAGUCUAUUACAUGUAUCCUAUACUGACUAGUCUAAUACAUGUAUCCUAUACUGACUAGUCUAAUACAUGUAUCCUAUACUGACUAGUCUAAUACAUGUAUCCUAUACUGACUAGUCUAUUACAUGUAUCCUAUACUGACUAGUCUAUUACAUGUAUCCUAUACUGACUAGUCUAAUACAUGUAUCCUAUACUGACUAGUCUAAUACAUGUAUCCUAUACUGACUAGUCUAUUACAUGUAUCCUAUACUGACUAGUCUAUUACAUGUAUCCUAUACUGACUAGUCUAUUACAUGUAUCCUAUACUGACUAGUCUAUUACAUGUAUCCUAUACUGACUAGUCUAAUACAUGUAUCCUAUACUGACUAGUCUAAUACAUGUAUCCUAUACUGACUAGUCUAUUACAUGUAUCCUAUACUGACUAGUCUAAUACAUGUAUCCUAUACUGACUAGUCUAAUACAUGUAUCCUAUACUGACUAGUCUAUUACAUGUAUCCUAUACUGACUAGUCUAUUACAUGUAUCCUAUACUGACUAGUCUAAUACAUGUAUCCUAUACUGACUAGUCUAAUACAUGUAUCCUAUACUGACUAGUCUAAUACAUGUAUCCUAUACUGACUAGUCUAUUACAUGUAUCCUAUACUGACUAGUCUAUUACAUGUAUCCUAUACUGACUAGUCUA